CAGUAGCCGCGGGAAAACGUAGGUGGCAAGCGUUGUCCGGAAUUAUUGGGCGUAAAGCGCGCGCAGGUGGUUUAAUAAGUCUGAUGUGAAAGCCCACGGCUCAACCGUGGAGGGUCAUUGGAAACUGUUAAACUUGAGUGCAGGAGAGAAAAGUGGAAUUCCUAGUGUAGCGGUGAAAUGCGUAGGGAUUAGGAGGAACACCAGUGGCGAAGGCGGCUUUUUGGCCUGUAACUGACACUGAGGCGCGAAAGCGUGGGGAGCAAACAGGAUUAGAUACCCCAGUAGUCCCUGUCUCUUAUAU
rnacentral:rRNA from 1 species